UUUUUUUGAGAGUUUGAUCCUGGCUCAGGAUGAACGCUGGCGGCGUGCCUUAGGCAUGCAAGUCGAAUGGUCGCAAGACAAUGGCAGACGGGUGAGUAAUACGUAGGAAUCUACCCCUUAAUGGAUCAUAGCUCAUCGAAAGAUGGGGUAAUAGUCCAUAGUCUCAGGGUUCCACCCUGAGUAAAUCCGAAGCACGAAAUCCGAAAUCCGAAACAAUAUCAAAAUUAAAAUGACAAAAAUUCAAAAUAGGUUUUGAACAUUUGGAUUUUGAGAAUUAAAAUUUGUUUCGAGUUUCGAUAUUCGAAUUUCGAAUUUAUUUAGAGUGGAGCUUUGAGUAAAGAUCGUAACUGAUCGUUGAGGGAGGAGCCUACGUCCUAUCAGCUAGUAGGUAAGGUAAAAGCUUACCUAGGCUAUGACGGGUAGCUGGACUGAGAGGUCGGUCAGCCACAACUGCACUGAGAUACGGGCAGUACACCUACGGGUGGCAGCAACCAGGAAUAUUGCGCAAUGGACGAAAGUCUGACGCAGCGACGCCGCGUGGAGGAUGAAGGCCUUAGGGUCGUAAACUCCUUUUGCCCAGCCAUUCACGGCGGGGCGAAUAAGCCUCUACUAACUACGUGCCAGAAGUCUCGGUAAUACGUAGGAGGCAAGCGUUAUCCGGAUUCAUUGGGCGUAAAGUGUGCGUAGGCGUUCCAGUAAGUCGUUCUUUAAAUACUAAGGCUUAACCUUGGGAAUGGGUACGAUACUGUUGGAAUUGAGGAUUGAACGGGGUGCUAGAACAGCUAGUGUAGCAGUGAAAUGCGUUGAUAUUAGCUGGAAUACCAAAGGCGAAGGCAGGCACCUGGUUUUUUCCUGACGCUGAGGCACGAAAGCUAGGGCAGCGAAACAGAUUAGAUACCUGUGUAGUCCUAGCCGUAAACGAUGUCCGCUAACUCUUCCCCUCUUUUUUUAGGAGUGAUGGUUUCAUUUGUUUGAAGUCCUAUAAAUUCUCGUAGAAAAAGAGGGGAGGGGUGUAAGCUAACGCGUUAAGCGGACCGCCUGGGGAGUACGGCCGCAAGGCUAAAACUCAAAGGAAUUGACGGGGACCCGCACAACCGGUGGAGCGUGUGGUUCAAUUCGAGACAAAACGAAAAACCUCACCAAGGUUUGACAUGCUAUCGUACAUCGCUUAGGAAACUAGGGGAAAUCCGCAAGGAUGAUAGCACAGGUGCUGCAUGGCUGUCGUCAGCUCGUGCCGUGAGGUGUUCCCUUAAGUGGGGAAACGAGCGCAACCCCCGUUCAAUGUUAAAUUAUCAUUGGAAACAGCCCCCUCUUUUUGGGUUCGAUUUUAGAUCGAACUUAAAAAGAGGGGGAGGAAGGAGGGGAAGACGUCAAGUCAGCACGGCCCUUAUACCUUGGGCUACACACACACUACAAUGGCGAAGAACAAUGGGUUGCAAGCAUGCAAGUGCAAGCUAAUCCCUGAAAUUUCGCCUCAGUUCAGAUUGGGGUCUGAAACCCGACCCCAUGAAGUCGGAAUCGGUAGUAAUCGCGGAUCAGCAUGCCGCGGUGAAUUCGUUCUCGGGUCUUGUACACACCGCCCGUCAAGGCAGCAAAGUCGGUAGCUAUCGAACCCC
rnacentral:rRNA from 1 species